AAUAAGUGCAGUUUUGUAAUAUUCACGUUCAACGUUUGACUGUUCGUCUUAUUUGAAAAUUUUCUGUGAUUGGUAUUUUUAUUGCUAUUAGAUGAUAAAACAUGAAUAGUAUUUUAUUUGUGAUUAAAUAUUUUCAAAUUUUUCACAAAUUUUUUAAAUAAGACGGACGGUCAAACGUUGGGCACGGAUAUCCAAGGCUGCACUUAUU
rfam:Oryza rufipogon genomic scaffold, chr03